rnacentral:rRNA from 1 species
AGUAAAUAGAUACCCCGGUAGUCCCAGCCGUAAACGAUGCUCGCUAGGUGUCAGGCAUGGCGCGACCGUGUCUGGUGCCGCAGGGAAGCCGUGAAGCGAGCCACCUGGGAAGUACGGCCGCAAGGCUGAAACUUAAAGGAAUUGGCGGGGGAGCACAACAACGGGUGGAGCCUGCGGUUUAAUUGGACUCAACGCCGGACAACUCACCGGGGGCGACAGCAAUAUGUAGGCCAAGCUGAAGACUUUGCCUGAAUCGCUGAGAGGAGGUGCAUGGCCGUCGCCAGUUCGUACUGUGAAGCAUCCUGUUAAGUCAGGCAACGAGCGAGACCCGUGCCCACUGUUACCAGCAUGUCCUUUGGGAUGAUGGGUACUCUGUGGGGACCGCCGGUGUCAAAUCGGAGGAAGGUGCGGGCCACGGUAGGUCAGUAUGCCCCGAAUCUCCCGGGCUACACGCGGGCUACAAUGAAUGGGACAAUGGGUCCCUUCCCUGAAAA